AGAAAAUAUUCAAGUUCCUACAUCUAUCUUCAAGUUGAAUAUCAGAUGGUGUAAAUCUUCGGUACCAAUUUCGAUUAGUGGGCUCAGGACUGGAGGUCUCCUAGGACUGGCAAGCAACAAGUCAAAGCAUGGCAUUCUCUUCCUCUUUGGAUGUGAUAUAAUUGGAAGAAAGGGAGCAUAAAAACUUGGUGACUAAAGCUAGAAGAGAGUUUGAACUGUGAAGUUAAAAAUGGAUCAGGCUGUAGUGGAACUCUUGAUUGAAAAUAUCAUUUCAGUCCUUUCAAAUGAUGCAUCUUUGUUAUGGGGAGCUCGUGAUGCAAUUGAAGAUAUCAAAGAUGAGUUAAUAAGCAUGCGAUCAUUCUUAGUAGAUGCUGAUAGAACGGGAGUAAGGAGGGAAGGAGAGAAAACUUGGGUGGCAACUGUGAGGGACUGGGCGUAUGAUGUUGAAGACAUUAUUGAUGAGUACAUGUAUCACAUGAAUCACCAACAAAUUGGCGGUCAAUCUUCCUGGAACCUUCACCACACCAUUAACUUUCCAAAAAAUCUCUGGGUGAGACGUCAAACCGCAACCAAGAUACAAAAAAUUAAUG